rnacentral:rRNA from 1 species
GCGUGCCUAUACAUGCAAGUCGAGCGAAUCAAAGGGAGCUUGCUCCCUGAGGUUAGCGGCGGACGGGUGAGUAACACGUGGGUAACCUGCCUGUAAGAUUGGGAUAACUCCGGGAAACCGGAGCUAAUACCGGAUAACAUUUUGAACCGCAUGGUUCAAAAUUGAAAGAUGGCUUCGGCUAUCACUUACAGAUGGACCCGCGGCGCAUUAGCUAGUUGGUGAGGUAACGGCUCACCAAGGCGACGAUGCGUAGCCGACCUGAGAGGGUGAUCGGCCACACUGGGACUGAGACACGGCCCAGACUCCUACGGGAGGCAGCAGUAGGGAAUCUUCCGCAAUGGACGAAAGUCUGACGGAGCAACGCCGCGUGAACGAUGAAGGCCUUCGGGUCGUAAAGUUCUGUUGUUAGGGAAGAACAAGUACCAGAGUAACUGCUGGUACCUUGACGGUACCUAACCAGAAAGCCACGGCUAACUACGUGCCAGCAGCCGCGGUAAUACGUAGGUGGCAAGCGUUGUCCGGAAUUAUUGGGCGUAAAGCGCGCGCAGGCGGUUUCUUAAGUCUGAUGUGAAAGCCCACGGCUCAACCGUGGAGGGUCAUUGGAAACUGGGGAACUUGAGUGCAGAAGAAGAGAGU